GUAUUUCAGCGGUCCUCUCCCCAUGUCCUACAAAGGGCAAUCUAGCCAUUUUUUCUUGAAGACAGGACUCGCAAACUGGAUAUGACUCGGAAGUCAAUGAGCCGAGAAGCCCAUCUUUAUCCAUUUUGUUCAUCUUAUCCUCUCCAAUAUGGCCAAGUCUGAGGUGCCACAAAUAUUUUUGGUUUAUCUCAUCUCUGGAUCUUUUGGAUCCUUUGGCACUCACUUCUUGCUCGGU
rnacentral:lncRNA from 1 species